AAGGAUUUAAGUUAAAGGAAACUUGCAACCUUCAAAGUUGCCAAUAGAGAAAAUCUAAGCCUUA
rnacentral:tRNA from 1 species